CGCAUCUGUGCAUGCAGCAUAUCAAUAAGCGGAGGAAAAGAAACUAACAAGGAUUCCCCUAGUAACGGCGAGUGAAGCGGGAAGAGCUCAAAUUUGAAAUCUUAAAGGGUUUCCCUUUACGAAUUGUAGUUUAAAGAAGUGUUUUCUGUUGAGGUUUUGGUAAAAGUUCUUUGGAAUAGGACAUCAUAGAGGGUGAGAAUCCCGUAUUUGACCUUUACUUUCAACUUUGUGAUACACUUUCAAAGAGUCGGAUUGUUUGGGAAUGCAGUCCAAAAUGGGUGGUAAAUUUCAUCUAAAGCUAAAUAUUGGCGAGAGACCGAUAGCGAACAAGUACCGUGAGGGAAAGAUGAAAAGAACUUUGAAAAGAGAGUUAAACAGUACGUGAAAUUGUCAAAAGGGAAGCGUUUGACACCAGUGUUGUUUUUCUGAAAAUCAAUUAAAGAACUGUUUAUGCUAAGCUGUUUAGACUUUAUCAGCUAACUGUUUAGUUUUGAGCUUUUCUUUAAUGCACUUUUCAGUUAACAAGUCAACAUCAAUUUCUUUUGCUGUAAAAAAGCUUGAGGAAGGUGGCUUGAGAUUCGUCUUAAGUGUUUAUAGCCUCUUGCCUAUGCAGUCGGAGAGAUUGAGGUCUGCAGCGUAGAUCCUUCGGGGCUAAAUGCAUUUGUGCUAAGUUAUAGCAUUUUAUAGACAACUUGUUGACUAUGAUUUGUCUUGUAGCUUACUCGCUUAUGUUAUUUUACCUACGCUUAGGAUGUUGAGUCAUCACACAUCUCU
rnacentral:rRNA from 1 species